rnacentral:rRNA from 1 species
AACGAACGCUGGCGGCAUGCCUAACACAUGCAAGUCGAACGAGACCUUCGGGUCUAGUGGCGCACGGGUGCGUAACGCGUGGGAACCUGCCCUUAGGUUCGGAAUAACUCCCCGAAAGGGGUGCUAAUACCGGAUAAUGUCUUCGGACCAAAGAUUUAUCGCCUUUGGAUGGGCCCGCGUUGGUUUAGCUUGUUGGUAGGGUAAAAGCCUACCAAGGCGACGAUCCAUAGCUGGUCUGAGAGGAUGAUCAGCCACACUGGGACUGAGACACGGCCCAGACUCCUACGGGAGGCAGCAGUGGGGAAUAUUGGACAAUGGGCGAAAGCCUGAUCCAGCAAUGCCGCGUGAGUGAUGAAGGCCGUAGGGUUGUAAAGCUCUUUUACCCGGGAUGAUAAUGACAGUACCGGGAGAAUAAGCACCGGCUAACUCCGUG